rnacentral:rRNA from 1 species
UACGGAAGGGGCGAGCGUUGUUCGGAUUUACUGGGCGUAAAGGGCGCGUAGGCGGCAAUUCAAGUCAGCUGUGAAAUCUCCGGGCUUAACUCGGAACGGUCAGCUGAUACUGCUUUGCUAGAGUGCAGAAGGGGCAAUCGGAAUUCUUGGUGUAGCGGUGAAAUGCGUAGAUAUCAAGAGGAACACCUGAGGUGAAGACGGGUUGCUGGGCUGACACUGACGCUGAGGCGCGAAAGCUAGGGUAGCAAACGGG